GUACCCUCAAGCUUUGCUUGGUGUUGGGCGUUUUUGUCUCCCCCAAAAGGGGGACUCGCCUUAAAAGGAUUGGCAGCCGGCCUACUGGUUUCGCAGCGCAGCACAUUUUUGCGCUUGCAAUCAGCAAAAGAGGACGGCAAUCCAUCAAGACUCCUUCUCAC
rnacentral:misc_RNA from 1 species